UUCCGCGAGUCCUUUCCCCCGCGCGUCCGUGCAGUGGACGCGAGGCUCCAAUUCACAGUACAGAGAUGACAGAUACCUGGAGAGAGGAUUCAGCUCCCUCCUCCCUCCAGCCUGAAGGUGGCAAUAGAGAGCGCCGCUGUGCAGUGAAUUAAGUCAGCCGUUCUGCCUCAGUCUCUCUCACAUGACCGGAGGGAGGAAGGAAAUGUUUCAUACACAGUGUGUCUACGGUCCAUGCAUUGGAUUGCCCACUGGCAGCUGGUAAAGCCAUUGAAGGUGUGCGUGGCGUGUGUGAUGAGACCUAUCCUGAUCCUGUCCGUGUGGAGUCUGUGGGAAUUCCUGUGGAGGACCUUCUGACCAACCCCUCAAGUCCGUCAGUCACGUCAGUGGAGUUCUGUGGAGGAAGGUGUUUCUAUAGAUUAGUAAAUCUGCCACAGCGCCUGCCAUCUCCUCUGGUGUGCCCGGAGAGCCAUGGAAGGUCAGUUCACUGGAGAGGUACAAAUCUGCCACCAAUCUCACUAAAGCUGCCCAUAAUGUGAUGGUC